AGCGGCGAGCGAAGCGGGAAGAGCUCAAAUUUAUAAUCUGGCACCUUCGGUGUCCGAGUUGUAAUCUCUAGAAGUGUUUUCCGCGUUGGACCGCACACAAGUCUGUUGGAAUACAGCGGCAUAGUGGUGAAACCCCCGUAUAUGGUGCGGACGCCCAGCGCUUUGUGAUACACUUUCAAUGAGUCGAGUUGUUUGGGAAUGCAGCUCAAAUUGGGUGGUAAAUUCCAUCUAAAGCUAAAUAUUGGCGAGAGACCGAUAGCGAACAAGUACCGUGAGGGAAAGAUGAAAAGCACUUUGGAAAGAGAGUUAACAGUACGUGAAAUUGUUGGAAGGGAAACGCUUGAAGUCAGACUUGCUUGCCGGAGCUUGCUUCGGUUUGCAGGCCAGCAUCAGUUUUCCGGGGUGGAUAAUGACGGUUUGAAGGUAGCAGUCUCGGCUGUGUUAUAGCUUUCCGUUGGAUACAUCCUGGGGGACUGAGGAACGCAGCGUGCUUUUUGC
rnacentral:rRNA from 1 species